rnacentral:rRNA from 1 species
CCUACGGGAGGCAGCAGUAGGGAAUCUUCCACAAUGGGCGAAAGCCUGGUGGAGCAACGCCGCGUGAGCGAAGAAGGUCUUCGGAUCGUAAAGCUCUGUUGUAAGGGAAGAACAAGUGCGGUAGUAACUGACCGCACCCUGACGGUACCUUACGAGAAAGCCACGGCUAACUACGUGCCAGCAGCCGCGGUAAU